CAUGAUGUUGGGGAAUCCCAUUCUAGUUGCUUGUAGUACACAUGUAUAUACAGGCACUUGUGCAGCUUUCUAGGAUAAUCAUUGUUGGGUGUCGGUGAACAUUCUUUUGCUUGGAUCUAAACUUCUUUUUGAAACUGACAUUCUUGAUCUCUUGUUAUGAGAUCAUAAAAGCAUGGACAUGUUCUUUGUUUGUCAAGCACCAUCGAAGCUGAAAUAUUAUGACCAAGAUUACGAGUUGCCUAUGAGGUUUCUAAGAUAACCAUUGUUGGGAGCAAAGCUGAAAUAUUAUUUGUUUGUUUUGUGG
rnacentral:lncRNA from 1 species